rnacentral:rRNA from 1 species
UACAGAGGUCUCAAGCGUUGUUCGGAUUCAUUGGGCGUAAAGGGUGCGUAGGUGGCGCUGUAAGUCGGGUGUGAAAUUUCGGAGCUUAACUCCGAAACUGCAUUCGAUACUGCGGUGCUUGAGGACUGGAGAGGAGACUGGAAUUUACGGUGUAGCAGUGAAAUGCGUAGAGAUCGUAAGGAAGACCAGUGGCGAAGCGGGUCUCUGGACAGUUCCUGACACUGAGGCACGAAGGCCAGGGGAGCAAACGGG